rnacentral:rRNA from 1 species
ACGGGUGAGUAACACGUAGGCAACCUGCCCUCAAGUUUGGGACAACUACCGGAAACGGUAGCUAAUACCGAAUAGUUGUUUUCUUCGCCUGAAGGAAACUGGAAAGACGGAGCAAUCUGUCACUUGGGGAUGGGCCUGCGGCGCAUUAGCUAGUUGGUGGGGUAACGGCUCACCAAGGCGACGAUGCGUAGCCGACCUGAGAGGGUGAUCGGCCACACUGGGACUGAGACACGGCCCAGACUCCUACGGGAGGCAGCAGUAGGGAAUCUUCCGCAAUGGGCGAAAGCCUGACGGAGCAAUGCCGCGUGAGUGAUGAAGGUUUUCGGAUCGUAAAGCUCUGUUGCCAGGGAAGAACGCUUGGGAGAGUAACUGCUCUCAAGGUGACGGUACCCGAGAAGAAAGCCCCGGCUAACUACGUGCCAGCAGCCGCGGUAAUACGUAGGGGGCAAGCGUUGUCCGGAAUUAUUGGGCGUGAAGCGCGCGCAGGCGGUCAUUUAAGUCUGGUGUUUAAUCCCGGGGCUCAACCCCGGAUCGCACUGGAAACUGGGUGACUUGAGUGCAGAAGAGGAGAGUGGAAUUCC